UGUGAUCGUAAGGGUAGUAGGCAGCGGCCGGGGCGAUGCCCGCAUGCGCAGACCCGCUCCCCUCCUUGGCCUCGAAGCUGUUCUGCAAGAGAGACCCGCCGCGCCCUGAGCCGCGGGGUCCGCGCCGCGCCGCCCCACGCCGCCCCACGCCCUGCGUGACGCCACCGCCCCGCCGGCUGCGUCACCGCCCGCCGCCGUGAGGAGCGAAAGUUUGAAAGCUCUCCGACGCUGGCUAUGCCUUUUCGCAACAUUUCUAUACAUUUAUGCGGGGAAGAAAAUGAAUGAUUUUAAGCUGAAAAAUCAAUGUAUCCGCUAAGAUGCCCCCCCCCCCUUCGUCACUGAAGGGCUGCUUUUAUUCCAGACGUGUGAUUACAGGUAGAAAAACCCUACCAGCACUUUCUGGGGAAUGAUUGAAGGACGUGACUUUUCACGUUAAAAUGACUUUGAUCCCAUGGCAAACCUCUGCUGGAAAAGCCAGUCUUUCCCAGGGUGGAGGGCUGCAUGCAGCCCGCUAGUGCUCCGAGCUGGAAGACUGCCUCCCAGAAACGAAUCUGCCCACACUGACAGCUCGAUUGAGGGUGAUUGAUGACUAUCUGGAGACCACAGUACACAUAAUAUAAUAUCUGCUGCGUAAUUGCUUUAAUUUACAGAUGAAAAUACUAGUUCUCGGAUUGAGUUAGACUACAGUGAGCAGCGUUUUAUGGCGCUUUAGAGUGUUUGCAAAUAAAGGAUAUCAAAUACAGUUCAUGCAAA